AAACACCCCAGGGGCCUGCCCCCUCUGUGCCAGGUGCACCAGGUGUGGGUGAGCAGGCUCAGACCAGCAGGAUCCAAGUGUGGAAGGGCUUAGUGUGAUGGGAUCCAGGUGUGGGGUCAGAGGUUUCUGUGUGGAGCAAUCAGGGUGCAGGGGACUCAGUGGGAG